rnacentral:rRNA from 1 species
UAGGGAAUCUUCCGCAAUGGACGCAAGUCUGACGGAGCAACGCCGCGUGUGUGAAGAAGGUUUUCGGAUCGUAAAGCACUGUUGUUAGAGAAGAACGGCUACUAGAGGAAAUGCUAGUAGAUUGACGGUAUCUAACCAGAAAGCCACGGCUAACUACGUGCCAGCAGCCGCGGUAAUACGUAGGUGGCAAGCGUUGUCCGGAUUUAUUGGGCGUAAAGGGAGCGCAGGUGGUUUCUUAAGUCUGAUGUGAAAGCCCACGGCUCAACCGUGGAGGGUCAUUGGAAACUGGGGAACUUGAGUGCAGAAGAGGAAAGCGGAAUUCCAUGUGUAGCGGUGAAAUGCGUAGAUAUAUGGAGGAACACCAGUGGCGAAAGCGGCUUUCUGGUCUGUAACUGACACUGAGGCUCGAAAGCGUGGGGAGCAAACA